rnacentral:misc_RNA from 1 species
CUGGGUCCAUGUGAAGUUCUUUCGAAGAGUCGAGUUGUUUGGGAAUGCAGCUAUAAAUGGGUGGUAAAUUUCAUCUAAAGCUAAAUACUGGCCGGAGACCGAUAGCGCACAAGUAGAGUGAUCGAAAGAUGAAAAGCACUUUGAAAAGAGAGUUAAACAGCACGUGAAAUUGUUGAAAGGGAAGCGCUUGCGAUCAGACUCGCCUGCGGGGUUCAGCCGGCAUUCGUGCCGGUGUACUUCCCCGUGGGCGGGCCAGCGUCGGUUCGGGUGGCCGGUCAAAGGCCCCGGGAAUGUGUCGCCCUCCGGGGCGUCUUAUAGCCCGGGGUGCCAUGCGGCCUACCUGGACCGAGGAACGCGCUUCGGCUCGGACGCUGGCGUAAUGGUCGUAAGCGACCCGUCUUGAAACACGGACCAAGGAGUCUAACAUCUACGCGAGUGUUUGGGUGGCAAACCCAUACGCGCAGUGAAAGCGAACGGAGGUGGGAACCCUUCGGGGCGCACCAUCGACCGAUCCUGAUGUCUUCGGAUGGAUUUGAGUAAGAGCGUAGCUGUGGGGACCCGAAAGAUGGUGAACUAUGCCUGAAUAGGGCGAAGCCAGAGGAAACUCUGGUGGAGGCUCGCAGCGGUUCUGACGUGCAAAUCGAUCGUCAAAUUUGGGUAUAGGGGCGAAAGACUAAUCGAACCAUCGU